rfam:Schistosoma mattheei strain Denwood, Zambia genome assembly, scaffold: SMTD_scaffold0008074
AUCUAGCUGACGAGUCCCAAAUAGGACGAGACGUGCGCCUUGGAU